CUAGAUAAGGCCGCCUAAAUAGG
rnacentral:siRNA from 1 species